rnacentral:rRNA from 1 species
UACGUAGGGCGCAAGCGUUGUCCGGAAUUAUUGGGCGUAAAGCGUGCGCAGGCGGUUUUGUAAGCCAGAUGUGAAAGCCCCGGGCCCAACCUGGGAAUGGCAUUUGGGACUGCAAGGCUUGAGUGCGGCAGAGGAGACUGGAAUUCCUGGUGUAGCAGUGAAAUGCGUAGAUAUCAGGAGGAAUACCGAUGGCGAAGGCAGGUCUCUGGGCUGACACUGACGCUCAUGCACGAAAGCGUGGGGAGCAAACAGG